AUGGCGACUGUCAUUCACAACCCCCUGAAAGCACUUGGGGACCAGUUCUACAAAGAAGCAAUUGAGCACUGUCGCAGCUACAACUCCCGGCUGUGUGCUGAACGGAGCGUUCGCCUUCCCUUCCUGGACUCGCAGACUGGAGUUGCUCAGAACAACUGCUACAUCUGGAUGGAGAAGCGGCACAGGGGACCAGGCCUGGCCCCAGGUCAGCUGUACACAUACCCGGCACGUUGCUGGCGCAAAAAGAGGCGUUUGCAUCCUCCUGAGGAUUCCAGGCUGAAGCUGCUGGAAAUUAAACCUGAAGUUGAUCUGCCUCUGAAAAAAGAUGGCUUCACAUCAGAAAGUACAACACUGGAAGCCUUGCUGCGUGGAGAGGGAAUAGAGAAAAAGAUGGACACUAAAGAGGAAGACCCUAUACAAGAAAUCCAGAGGGUUUUAGAAAACGAUGAAAACGCAGAUGAAGUGAAUGAAGAAGAGGAUUUGGAAGAAGAUAUUCCAAAACGAAAGAACAGGCCAAGAGGACGGCCAAAGACCCCCACCUGGAAAAAAAUUUUCCAGAAAAAUGCUCGGGGAUCUGGAGGUGGCAGGAGACGAAAUGAUGCUGCCUCCCAGGAUGAUCAUGACAAACCCUAUGUUUGUGACAUCUGUGGCAAGCGUUACAAGAACAGGCCUGGACUGAGUUACCACUAUGCUCAUACUCAUCUUGCCAGUGAAGAGGGUGAUGAAGCCCGGGAGCAGGAGACCCGCUCUUCUCCUGUCCACAGAAAUGAAAACCACAAACCCCAGAAAGGACCAGAUGGGGUCAUCAUACCCAAUAACUACUGUGACUUCUGCCUUGGAGGCUCCAAUAUGAACAAAAAAAGUGGCCGGCCUGAGGAACUUGUGUCGUGCUCAGACUGUGGGCGCUCUGCUCAUUUGGGAAGAGAAGGCAGGAGGGACGAAGCAGCGCCAACACGCACUACGGAGGACUUGUUCGGUUCCACGUCAGAAAGCGACACCUCGACCUUUCAUGGCUUUGACGAGGAUGAUGCAGAAGAGCCUCUCUCGAGCCGAGGAGGUGGCUGUGGUGGCAGCUCUCCCUCUGCAGACAAAAAGGGCAGCUGCUAAAUUAACUAAAAAGACACAAACUCUGAGCAAUUUGCUGUCCGUUUUACUACUAGAAUUAUUAUUAUCUUUUUCUUUUUUUAAUUUUAGGUCCUUGGGUGUUGGUUUUUUUUUUUUUUUUUUUUUUUUUUUUUUUUGUUAUUGUUGAUGUUGUUUUUGUUUUUUCCUGUGGGGUGUACACUGAAAGCACAAGCAUUUAAAGUUCUUGACAACCAUUUUGAAGAGACAGAAGGUUUUGAUUUUCCUGGUUUUUUUUUUGGUUUUUUUUUUUUCCUUUUCAUUUUAAUUUGUUCUUCUCCCACCUCCUGCCCUUCUCUUUCUCUCUGGAAACAUAAAAGGUGGAUUUAAUAUUUUUUUAAAUAGUGAGCAGAGUUGAUUUUCUUCUCUUUUAAUAUAUAUAUUGGCAAACCACAUAAAAUAGAGAUGGGUUGGAGAACAUGAAAGCAAACCCAAAUAGUUUUUUUUAAUUAUUAUUAUUUAUAUAAUCUAUAUAUUAUUAGAAAAAGUUACUUUUUAAAUAAAAAAGCAAAAAAAAAAAAAAAAGCAAAAAAAAAAAAAAAAAAAAAAAAGCAAUGGAUGUCUACUUGAUGAUAGAACUGUUUCUAGAGAACCACUGUGGAUGAAAUUCCUUGGAGGACAAGGAAACCCUUGGUGUGAUGGCUUCUGCAUUUGAGAUUUUGCACUUAUUGUGGAAUUUGGCUCUUCUUGUACACCUGCUGCACUUGUAUUUAACAGCUUGAAGACACAAGCAGCUCCAUUGAAGACCAUGACCUUGGGGAACACAUUUCCAUCUCUCCUUUGGACACCUUUACAAUAGAUCUCUUCCUACCUGCACCCCUUCAGCUCUUCCUCGCUCAGUUCUACGUUUUUUUUUUCUUUUUCUUUUUUUAACCUUCACUUCAUGGAUAGAAAUUUCCAAGCGUAGGGAUGGAAUAUAAAUUGCAAGUCGUAGACAUCAAAGACAAAACAGAUGGAGCAGCAGAAUCAUGGAAGAAAUUAUAUGGAAAUAUACCUCACCUAUACUUUUCUUUCCAUUUUUAAAUUUUACUUCGCAGCAUUUUUUCUGUGUUGCCCAGAUUUUUCUCUCUGUAGUGUCUUGUGAGACACUUUGUUUGCUUUGCAAUAGCUUCUCUUGAAAUAAACCAAAGCAAUACUCAUUAAAGUUCCAAGGGCAAUGGAGAAGAGAGUGACUCCCUUCCCAGCGACUAUCCCAGAAAGGAGGAAACAUGCAGCAGGAUUUGAAAGUCAGCCCUGCCCUCGUGGACUCUGGCAUCCUUCAAGCAAGACAUUUCAGAAGAAGGUCGAGAGAAGCCAGGAUGCUUUGAUACUUCUGAUAACUUCUCCUUGCCCUGACCCUUCUGUCCCUGUGUUUCAUCUGGCACAGGAGCCUGGACUGUGGGAAGCUGGCUACCAACUGUUCAGAGAAAUUCUGGGGAUGCCCUAAGCCGGUGCAAUACAAAGAAUUUUUUUUAAAGCCUUGAUUUCACUUUCUUUUAAGCAUGUGUAUAAACCCAGGUCAAACUGGAAUUGAUCUACAGUAGAACUGACUGAAAAACAAACUGAAAAAAGACUUAACUAUUUUAUUUAUUUCAAUAUUUAAGAGAGAAAAGGAGUGCUGAAGUUGCACAGUAUUUUUGUUUGAAAUACGUUUUACUUCAAAUUUUAAAUGCAAUUUUGUGAAGACAUGGAAUUUUAAAAAAGCACUUAAUGUAAAAUAAAGACUGAAUAUUUACUUUAAGAAAAAAAAAGCUUUUUUAAAUAAUGAAAAUAAAGAUCAACUCUGCUCUCUCUCUUACUUUAAAGAAGCCAUUCAUACAUGUGCUGGGUAUCUUUGUUUUUUGCAAAUUGGAUGUGGUAAGUGCAGACUGUUCUGGUUUUCUUUCUUCUGAAUAAUAUUAUCCUGUUAGAUGCUUAAAUCUUACUUUGCUUUUCUUGUGUUAGGCACAAAUCUGAACAAAAACUGCUGAAAGAGCAAAGACCAGGCUCAGUGCCUGGAUUUUUUUGUUACCAGAUGUUGUGUCCAAUUCAAAGGACUGUCUUCUCCCCGUAGGAUUGAUGUGUCUCUUCUGCACAGUAAAACAGGUUUUCAUUUGAGCAACUCUGUGAAAUGCUUCUGCUAAAAGAGAGAUUUAAAGAAAGGAAAGCAACUAUUAGGUUGUUUUUUGUUUUGUUUUGUUUCUUCUCAUUACUAUUAUUCUUUUUUUCUUUCUUUCAUUUUUUUCCUUUGGUAAUUCCUCAGCUGAUUGUGAGUUGGUUGUAAGGAAAGUAUUCUGUUUGGAUGCUCUUGGCAUGUAGCUUCCUUCCGGAGUCAAAGAUGUUGCCCUAUGUAGAAAACCUGUAUAUUUGCCCUUUUUUAUGAAAUAAUGGACUUUGAAAAGUAUAGAGGUACACCCCCAUGUCAGCAGUAAGCAACAGAGGAUACUCAGCAGGAGAAGAAUUUGAGUUCCCACAGGCUGCAAUCCUAAAUUGUCCGGUGAGGGACGUUCACAGCCUUCAUUCUGGGUUGUUAGCCAUCUUCUCAAUGAAAUGAGUUCUGCUUCACGCAAGCACUGGAAAAUUUUGUUGGUUCCCAAAUCUGCUCACAGUGGAUAGUUUGUUGUCAUGUGUGAUGCAGGCUAGCAAGGAUGCGAGCCUUGUGUAUUAGAAGGGCAUUGGACUUGGCUCUGAGAUUAGCUGUCCUCUGUAGUCAGAUGUAUCUAUUGGUAUAGACCCAGUGUAUAGAUAAUAAAGUGUUUUGCUAAUGUGACUUAUGUUGGUUUUUUUGAGUGAAAAGAUUGUCUACGAAAAUGCAUCCUGUGUAGGGGAAGCUGACAGAAGGUCUCAUGCUGCAUCAUAUUUCUUGCACACCUAAAACUUAAACUCACCUCUUUGAGAGGUUUCCUGGUGUCCGUCGCAGUGUUCCCUCCCCCUUCUCCCGCUCCCUUUGGAUUGACACAUAGGGCCAAAAAUAGCCAUAUUAAAUCUCUGGUAGACCUGAGUUCUGCUCUCACUAAGUUGAAUGACAAAAUUUAUGUCAUAAUCAGGUUCUUUACCAGGGUGGGUUUGCUUUGAUAAUUUUGUUGUUUCUACGCUUGCAUUGGUGAGCUGCCGCUAGAGAAAAAGAAGAAAUCAGAUUUUAUUUAAUCAAAAUAUAAUGAAACGCACAACCAUAAUGAAGAUUUGCAAACUAUAGGGUCUGUAUUCUGUUUGUGUAAUAUUCCUUUCAAAUAAAAGUUCUGCUUUCAAUGCC